rnacentral:rRNA from 1 species
UUUGGGCAAGAAGACCCUAUGAAUUUUUAAUAAAAAGUUAUAUUGAAAUAUGAAACUUUUUAUUUUAAUUGGGGCGAUUUAACUAAAUAUUAAAAACUUUUUAAAAAAAAAAUAUGAACCGUUAUUAACGGACACUUGGAAAAAAUACUCUAGGGAUAACAGCGUAAUAAUUUUUGAUAGUUCUUAUAGACAAAAUAGUUUGCGACCUCGAUGUUGGAUUAGGAUAUUUUUUUAAUGAAGAAGUUAAAAAAAAAAGUUUGUUCAACUUUUAAUGUCCUACUUGAUCUGAGUUCAAACCGGA